rnacentral:piRNA from 1 species
UAAUAUGUCCCAAUUCUAAUUGUUCCU